GUUUCUGUGUUUAGGGUUUGGCAAACUGGUGUUUUCACUCUCAGGGGCUAGCUCCAUUUGUCUGGCCACUUUUCUGACUACAGUGCUGGGUACUGCACCUUUACAACAAGGCUGUGAGGGCUGAGCACUCAGAGGCAGAGGCUGGGGGAUCCCUGAGUUCAAGGCUACCCAGGGCUACGCAGAAGGGCACCUGGUUCCCCAGCAUCCCAGACAACAGUCCCCUGUGUGGCUCCUGGUGUGAUGUGCACUAGGCCCAGAAGGACAUGGAGAGAAUGUGCACAGCCUUGUCCCGGCGCUGGAAAACAGAAGCUAACCUGUAAGCAACUAGAGGAUGUUUUCAGCUCGUGAGGAAGACUUAGCUUUUAAAAAGUAAAAAGCAGGAACAGGAAUAUGCCACCACACCUUGCUGGGAGCAGGGAUAACACACCCAAAGAAGAGGGAUGGGCCGGGUCACUGAUCCUCACAAGGCCUGAAGAAGAGGUGGGACUCAUCACGAGGCCACAAAGAAAUGCACAUUUUUUUUUCUGGAGGUGGAUUUUCUGCUUGCUGAACAGAGCAGAUGGCUGUGCUUGAGAGGGGAAAGGAAAUUGCUAACCCUGUCCCCUGGCAUAGAAGAAAAAAUUGACGAAGUCACCAGGCUGGGCUCCAGCCCCUCUUCUGCAGCCUCAGCAGAUUUCUCUGCUGACACUCUGCCAUCAGA
ensembl:lincRNA D630024D03Rik RIKEN cDNA D630024D03 gene